rnacentral:rRNA from 1 species
UACGAAGGGGGCUAGCGUUGCUCGGAAUCACUGGGCGUAAAGGGUGCGUAGGCGGGUCUUUAAGUCAGGGGUGAAAUCCUGGAGCUCAACUCCAGAACUGCCUUUGAUACUGAAGAUCUUGAGUUCGGGAGAGGUGAGUGGAACUGCGAGUGUAGAGGUGAAAUUCGUAGAUAUUCGCAAGAACACCAGUGGCGAAGGCGGCUCACUGGCCCGAUACUGACGCUGAGGCACGAAAGCGUGGGGAUCAAACAGG